UACGUAGGUGGCAAGCGUUUGUCCGGAUUUACUGGGCGUAAAGAGCGCGCAGGCGGUCGUUCAAGUCGCGUGUGAAAGCCCCCGGCUCAACUGGGGAGGGUCACGCGAUACUGAUCGACUGGAAGGCAGGAGAGGGUAGUGGAAUUCCCGGUGUAGUGGUGAAAUGCGUAGAUAUCGGGAGGAACACCAAAUGGCGAAGGCAGCUCGCUGGGACGUGGACUGACGCUGAGACGCGAAAGCGUGGGGAGCAAACAGGG
rnacentral:rRNA from 1 species